UACGGCCACAACACGUUAAAUACCGGUUCCCGUGCAAUCACCGAAGUUAAACAACGUUGAACCUGGUCAGUACCUGGAUGUGUGACCUCUUGGGACUACCAGGUGCUAUA